AGAACUACCUGGCAGGGGAGAUACCAUGAUUAAGAAGGUGGUUUUCCCAGGGCAAGGCUUAUCCAUUGCACUCUGGAUGUGCUGAUCCCUACGAUUUCCCCAAAUUCGGGGAAACUCGACUGCAUAAUUUGUGGUGGGGAGGGAUUGCGUUCGCACUCUCCCCUG